UCGAGCGCGAGAGACAGGAGCGUAAGCUUGUCCGCGUUCGACGGCUCUUUCAAAUAGCGUGUGUGUAAUCGGUGGAUGGGGUUACAAUCAGGGAUCUAACAGCGUAUCCGUGUAACCAUAAUUCCGAAUUGAGGAUCGUUGUAAGUUCCGAGUAACGUUGGCGGGGCUCGGGCAAAGUUAACGUUAGUGUGUGGGCAUACAAUAGCCGAUCGGUCGCGCUAGUGACACGACUGCGGAUUUUCCUUUCGGAACAUACGAAGCUCGCAAAGUGCAUGUGCUGGUAUGCGUGUUCGCUGGUUGGUGCGAGUUCAAAGCCGCUACGACGGCGCUCCCGAAUAAACUGCAGAGUCUCAUCUGCAGUGGUGUGAGAGGUGCCGCCGCGGCACUGUCGGGCCACGAUUGAGUACGAUCGCGAUCGCACGCGGCGGGGCCGUUUGUAAUGGAGGUUCCCGAGUGUGUUCCCGUGCGAGAGAACAGUCACGGCGAUGCACGCCGUAUUGACUGAAACGCGAUAUUUAUCGUUGACUAUAUACCACCCGGCCGGCCGGGCAAGAGAGUCAGGUCGAAAAUUGGUAUGGAAUCGUCCAGGGCAGUCCUCGACACCAACAACGACGACUCGCUCCCGUCUGUGAUAACCACUAGCCGUUUAUAAAAAAAAGAGGAAGGGAAAAAACGAGAGGGAUAACAGCAGCAGUGAGUGUUUUACGCGCGUACUACCUUUCUCUAAUCUGCCUUUUUCCAAUUUCGUUUUUUAAGUGUAAACAUUCGAUCGAGAUUCGAGGUUAGGAUAGCAUGGGGAUUGAUCCCCUGAAGGCAUCGACCGACGAACCGUGACACCUGCGACUCGACGUGUACGGUGUGUGCCUGUGUAUGCGUGUCCGCGUGUGUGCGUUAUCCUCCCAGGCAGCCGCUGGAGUGUUAUUUUUCCAUCGUUGGCCGUCCAAGGAAAGACCAAAGAGGGAAAUAUGUCAAGAAUGGGGAUCGAUCCCCGAUUGAACGCCGUACACCGUUCGCGUCAUUAAAUUCGAUCCCGGGACUCUAAAGUCGUUGGCUACGCGUUUCACCGUGCGAUCGACUAUUUUUCUCUCACAUUUUUAAACAGACUGUUCGCGGAUAUUACUCUGCAACGACGGAGGACACUCGCACCAUGCAGAAAAGGGACGGUAGGGAACAACAGCUACCGCUCGCGCGUAGCGCCGAACGCGAACAGGAAGCGACCAAAAGGAUCUCCCGUGGUAGCGGAAACGCUGCCAGAUUGAAUUAUUCAUCCAAGUAUAGUGUCACCUCCUCGAGUGUACUCAUGGUCGGACCUAACUUCCGCGUCGGCAAGAAAAUUGGCUCUGGCAACUUUGGGGAACUUCGACUCGGGAAGAACCUCUACAAUAACGAGCAUGUUGCAAUUAAAUUGGAACUGAUGAGGUCAAAGGCGCCGCAGCUACACUUAGAAUAUAGGUUUUACAAAUUAUUAGGUACACAUGAGGGUAUACCGGAGGUAUACUAUUUUGGUGCUUGCGGGAAAUACAACGCCAUGGUAAUGGAACUCCUCGGGCCGAGUCUCGAGGACUUGUUCGACCUCUGCGGUAGGAGGUUUACCCUAAAGACCGUUAUCAAAAUCGCCACGCAGAUCCUUCACAGGAUAGAGUACGUUCACAGCCGGCAUUUGAUCUACCGCGACAUCAAGCCGGAGAACUUCCUGAUAGGACGAUCGGCAACAAAACGGGAGAAGAUCAUCCACAUAAUCGACUUCGGACUGGCCAAAGAGUACAUAGAGCUGGAGACGAACAAACACAUACCGUAUCGGGAACACAAAAGCUUGACCGGCACGGCGCGUUACAUGAGCAUCAACACGCACCUUGGAAAAGAGCAGAGCAGAAGAGACGACCUGGAAGCGUUAGGGAACAUGCUGAUGUACUUCCUACGAGGCAGCCUGCCGUGGCAAGGACUGAAGGCGGACACGCUUAAGGAACGAUAUCAGAAGAUCGGCGACACGAAACGGAACACGCCGAUCGAGGUUCUCUGCGACGGUCAUCCUGAAGAGAUGGCCACGUACCUGCGGUACGUCCGUAAAUUGGAUUUCUUCGAGACGCCCGACUACGAGUACCUGAGGAACCUAUUCCACGACCUGUACGAGAAGCGGGGUUUCGUCGAUGACGGCGAAUUCGACUGGACCGGGAAGACGAUGCCAUCCAACUACGAACAUCUCAGAGCUUUGAGGAUGGCUGCCCCCUCUCACCUCGGAAAGACUAAGUCUGAUAAGUAUACCCAUCCACGAGGAGGACGCUGCGCCGAAAUAGUUUGUCAAAGAAGCGUAUGCCCGCUCGAAGAGAAUUGCUCGAUUAAAUUGCACGGAACGAUGCUGGGAAGCUUAUCGACUUUUAUUUCGUCGAGCGUGAAAAUCUUAUUUCUCCUUUGAGACACGAUAUCUCGUUCUGACCGAGAUACUACGUUCGCAAGAAACGCUCAACACCAGUGUCGAUCACUUAAGCAUGCACACUCUUUUACUUACCUUACUUACAUUUGUUUAACUUACAAAUGCAGUCAUUUCCUCGUAGCAUAGCGGAAUCAUUUGCCUUUCUUUCUUUUUUUUUUUUUUAGAGAGAAAUCGUAGUGCAUUUGGUAUUUUGUCGUUCAUUCAUUUUUGUAUGUUUUAUUUCCUCCCGCUUAGUAGAAAAAACUUUCUAUAGAACGCCAAGUGCUCUGUAAAGUUACGUAGUACCUCUUUCGUCUAUGGAAUGGAUGUUAGAAUGUUUCUAUCAGUUAAUUAGAAUGCUUUCUGUUUGCAGACAAUGUUAAUCACGAUAUGCAUUGUAUUUUAAUUACGAUAUGAAUGUUCGUUUUGUCCUCGAGACUUCGGAGAGCACAAUGUUCGAAAAUAAUAAUAUCUAGAGUUACCGUGAAUUAUUGUUUCAUUCCCGUCUCCAAUCUACACCUGUCGGAUCCCUGCAGACCGGACAAGAGAUUAUUGUAUCGCCAAACCGUGAUCGACAUCCAUACAAGGUAUGU